GUCAGGAUGGCCGAGUCGUCUAAGGCGCCAGACUCAAGUUUGUGGUCCUCUAACGAGGGCGUGGGUUCAAAUCCCACUUCUGACA